rnacentral:lncRNA from 1 species
CCAGAAGAAAAUGAGACAGACUAUAGUGACAGAAGAAGAAAGGACUUCACCUUCUUUUACUGUUUUCCAGUUUGUGAGGGACUGCAGUAUGGCUUCAUUUCCUUGGUGCGUUUGUAAAAUAGUUCACCCAUUGAAGACCAUGAAGGUUCUUUCCAAUGCUGCCCUGCUUUUGCUGGUGUCUUGCUCCUGGAAGUUGUGAUGCUAAAGUAUUAUGAUGUAAUGACUGUGAUUUCACCUCCAGAAUUUGGAUGACUCUAGGACAUUGGCAAGAUCAGGUGGUAGACUUCUAGGACUGAAGGCCAUGGUGUGUGUGGAUCAUGGUAAACUCACCAAAGCAAGUAAUGCCCUUGAGAUGAUCCUGCAGAAGCUUGUCAUUGCACUCUUUUGUUGACACCCAGUCUUUGCUGUAUUACAUUAAAGUUGCAUAAACCCAUUAAUGUCCAAAUAAAUUUUGUCUUAUGGCAG